AUUGAACGCUGGCGGAAUGCUUUACACAUGCAAGUCGAACGGCAGCACGGGUGCUUGCACCUGGUGGCGAGUGGCGAACGGGUGAGUAAUGUAUCGGAACGUAUCCAAUAAUGGGGGAUAACUAAUCGAAAGGUUGGCUAAUACCGCAUACGCCCUACGGGGGAAAGCAGGGGAUCUUCGGACCUUGCGUUAAUGGAGCGGCCGAUAUCUGAUUAGCUAGUAGGUGGGGUAAAGGCCCACCUAGGCGACGAUCAGUAGCUGGUCUGAGAGGACGACCAGCCACACUGGAACUGAGACACGGCCCAGACUCCUACGGGAGGCAGCAGUGGGGAAUUUUGGACAAUGGGGGCAACCCUGAUCCAGCCAUUCCGCGUGAGUGAAGAAGGCCUUCGGGUUGUAAAGCUCUUUCGCAAGGGAAGAAACGAUACAGUCGAAUAAACUGUGUUAAUGACGGUACCUUGAUAAGAAGCACCGGCUAACUACGUGCCAGCAGCCGCCGUAA
rnacentral:rRNA from 1 species